CAUCAGCCUUAAGAUCUGCAAUCAUGACCACCGGUCAGUACCAUAUAUUAAAUUUUCAUCGGACAUAUAUUGUAUAGUUAUGCUGUUUUGAGAAUAUUAUUAAGAUGAACAACUGAUGCUUAACGUUGACCACAAUAUGGAUCCCAGCGAGAACUAGAACUAACGUGAGACAACCUUUGGUGAAUGAGACACUUGGAGAGGCAAACCCCUUCAGCUAUGGUGCAGGGCAUCUCUGGCCUAGCCGUGCAAUGGACCCAGGUUUGGUCUAUGACUUAACCACCACUGACUACUUGAACUUUCUGUGCUCUAUUGGCUACAAUGCAACCCAACUUUCAACAUUUGUGGACAAGGGAUAUGAAUGCCCAUCAAAGCCCAUGAGCCUUUUGAAUUUAAACUACCCCUCAAUUACCGUCCCCAGUCUCUCAGGCAAGGUAACAGUGACUCGGACCCUGAAGAAUGUUGGAACCCCAGCUACAUACACAGUUCGAACUGAGGUGCCUAGUGGAAUAUCGGUGAAGGUGGAGCCCAAUACGCUUAAAUUUGAAAAGAUUAAUGAAGAGAAAACAUUCAAGGUGAUAUUGGAAGCAAAGAGAGAUGGUAAGGGAGGUGAGUAUGUUUUUGGAAGGCUCAUAUGGUCAGAUGGAGAACACUACGUCAGAAGCCCUAUAGUGGUCAAUGCAACCACUCUUUAGAUAUAACCAUGAUUUUUAUUAUUAUUAUUAUUUUUGUAAUGUCAAGCUAAUUACCUAAAAUAAAUCUAUAUUUACCAUGUGGACUCACCAUUAAUAAAAAAGAGACCUUGAACUUCAUUUUGAUCUAAUAUCAUCCAUUUAAAUAUUACGAGGUUCUAAACUUCCAUCCAUAGUAGAAUUGUAAUAUAGAUGAGGCCUAAAUUCUAUAUAUUAAAAAGGUUGAAGCAAAUUUUAAGUCUUGAUAUAUGAACUACAUGAAGGGUGAUGAUUAGGUAGUCUAUGAAUUAAUCUUAAAUUCAAAUUUUAUUAUUAAUUUUUUAUUAAAUAAUUAAUGAAAGUACAUUAAUUUAACGUAUAUGUAAUUAAUAUCAAUCUCACACGGUGAUAGGAAAUAUAAUAUGGAAAAACUAUCUACCACCACGAGAUGGUGUCUCAAUUGCAAGUAAUUUAUUAAACAUGAGAAGAUGGUACAUAGAUUUAUCUUAUCAGGGAUAUCUACUCUUAUAAGAAAAUGUUUUUUAGUGGAUUGCUCAAAAGUUUUUAUCAAAAUUGAAACGUUUCAAGUCCAAAGCUUUUUGAUAUUUGAAUAGUAACUUAAAAAUGAAAAUAGAAAUUUUGAGAGAUGGAGGUUCAAACUUUGGAUGAUAUAACUAUUGUUCUCUUAAUGUCUUUAUUUUCCCAUAUAAUAAGACUUUUUAUAUUUGAAAAACUCCAAGCCUUUAAAAUUACAUAUCUAGUAACAAUAAUCAUCAAUAAGCUAGCACAUAAGGGGAAUGGAUAGGUGCUCAGGCCAAGCUAUGCAACAACCCAAGACUCCAGAACUACGAGUGUAGUAUCAAUGCAUUGAACAUGAGCCUCUAUUGCUACAAUCCAUGAAACAAUGUCCUCAAUGGAAGCAACAAUCCUUUGCAACAAGUGCUUCAGGCAACCAAAGAUGAGGAGCAUAUAGUUACACCCGCUAGAGUUCCCUGCACCUCGAAUAGCAACCCGAUGACAUAGAGAAGGUCCUUGAACAUCAUUGCCUACUCCGCAGCUCGAAUCUCCCACUCCUAAUCAUCCUUAAUUUUUGAAAACCUUGAUCAAUUUUUAAUUUGUAUUACCUAGAAGUUUAAAAAGGAUAUAAUCAUCAAGCUAAAUACAUCUUUACCUUUACAACAAAUUAAUGAAAGUGAAUUUAACAAUGUGGAGUAAUCAAGAAUGGGCAAUAUCAUUUAAUAGUUGAAAUUCAAAUUUUGUAAUUCAUAAAAAUUGACGGAUCAAAGACUAGACCCAUGCGAGACAUUGACAUAACAACUAGUGGGGCUAAUAAAAUUUUUGGAAGAACUCAUUGGCUCGAUUCAAUUUAUUAAUAUUCCGUUUUUCUAUCAAUAUUUAAGCUAGAUGGAAACUAGAUUGUUUUGAACUUUCAAUAAUUGAUGACUUUGGAGGUGUAUACAGUGAACUUGUCUAUUUAAAAGGGAGUGUAGACAAAAAUGUCUACCUCAUAAACCAUGAGUUUUUGACUAGUAAGAGCAUUCAUUCAAUAUUCCAACAUGGUGGCUAGUCAGAUAUAUGUGAUUGAUUGAAACAAUUUGGAGAAAUUUUUUGGGUUAAAGGAAAGCUUAAAAAAUCUAGGGUUAUUUGAUUAAAAGGGUUUUUGAAAACCCAAUUUUUUAAAUUUAACCUCUAUCCAUUUUUUGGUCAUAUUUGGACAAAAAUGUUUUCAUUAUUUUCUUAUAAAAAUAACAAUCUCUUUUAAAACCUAUAUGUAAAUAUUUGAAAUGGUAAAAGACAUUUAUGUCAAAGGUGAAUUACUUUUCAAGAAAAAAAAUACGAGAAUGGUUAGAUUCAUAAUAUGAGGAUUAUUUCACUGUUUUUAACCAAAUAUUUCAAAAAUGUAUAAUUUGAUAUAUCGUUUUCUUUCUUGUAAUGAUCUUUGAUUUUCCAUGAAUUGACAUUAUAAGAGUCUUCUGGCCCCAUUGUCAUCCCAGAAGUUAUUUCAAUUCCCACUUGUUUUGAAUAUUCCUGUUUUCUAGAUUUUCUUAGUCUUCCAUGCUUUAUAAAUCAACUCUAGGCAAAAUUUUCCUCUUCUAUGACCAAAUUUUCCUCUACUAUUGCCUUUUAUUUCAUCUUCAAUCAUGUGCACCUGCACAUGGUAAAGCCAUAUUGAUAGCAUAAAUUGGAGCCGGUUUUUCUAGCUAUCAGUUCUAGAACAGUAGAAAAAUGUAUGAACUGAAAUCUGACUUAUUUAUAUCAGUAAUGACAUUUUUUUUAAGGUGGAUGGAGUGAAGAAAAUGAUGAACAUACCUCCCCAAGAAUGCUUGUCAACUACAUAUAUGAAUGUAAUACCUUUUCCUUACUAGCUUAAUCAUCCAUUCUCUUUGAUUUCACAACUCUCAAUUUUAAGUCAAGCAUACUGGUGAAGGUCUGUGUCAAAAAUCCCCCUUGUCAUUGAUUACACUGCAGAUAGGGAUAUGAAUAUAAAUAUAUUUACUUGAUCAAUGAAGAUUAAUUAAGACUUUCAUAUUUUCCAGCAGAGUUAGGCUAAGCUUAGAAGAAAACAAAGGGUACUUGGUUCAGUAGCGGAAGCUUCCUAUUGACAAUCAUCACCUAUCAAUUAUAUAUUUGAUGAAAAUAUAUAAAUAUAUUAAAUAAAUUAUCCAUGCAAUUUGAGGUAGGAAAUCCUUUAAAAGGGAUAGUAGAGACCCUCUUACUUGAAGAACAUAAAGCAGAGGUUCUAACCACAGAGAUCUAGGGGAAUCAAAUGGGGAUUAUGAGUCCUCCUCUUUUCCUUCUCUCUUUCAUUCUCUUCACUGUGAUGAAGUGUCCAACACUGGCUCUCAAACGGGCAAGCAUUAUUCUCUAUCUCUCUCAAUUCUCUAAGUGGCUAACUACCCAUGUUAACCUGUUUUAUAGAACCUCAUGUCAUGUGGUGUAAUAUGAUUUUGUUGUACCCUUUUUCUACAGUCAUAUGUGGUGUACCUAGGUAGUCAUUCACAUGGAGCUGAACCUACUUCUGUAUUGGGGAAGAUAUAAUUAUUGGAAACCUAGACACUGGUAAUCUUGAUUGCUAACCAGCUUUGAGAUUUGGUGAAGUUUAAAAUGCUAAUACUCUUUCAAUGAGUUAUCUAUAUUCGGUAGCAUUAAUCUUUUGAAAUAAUAUCUUGGCUUGCCUAUCAGAAAAAGCUUGAGGAAUCAACAAGCAAGCUAGUGUUACUGCAUUCGUACAAUGCAUAGAUAAGACACUCCUCAACUACACUAGCACCAAAUCAUAUUAGCUGCAAUCCUAGUUUUUAUGAUUUUUGACUUAGUAAACUAGAUUUUUAAUGAUUUCUUGGACUUUACAUAGGUGCCGGAUUAAUUGGGUGCUAAUUGACUUGAAUAAUCAAAGUAGACCAAAUGAAUAAUUAGUUUGCAUCUACGAAGUCAAGGAGGAGUGUUGAAUUUUGACUUAGUAUUUGCUGGAAUUUGAAUUUUGAAUAUUGCAGCUGGAGUCUUGCGCAAAAUCUGCAACAUCUAGAUAUUUUCUUAUUUUUAUUUGGUCAAGAUUUGGUUUCUAUUUUAUAGGAAGUAGUUGUUCAUCAUCUAGUAGCUUGAUUUUCUGCUAUUCUAAUGUCAUUUAAGUUACAAGCUCAUGUAUAAAUUCAGCACUCUUCAUCAAUAAUCAUAGUUCCGGCAGCCCAAAAAUAUAUAUUCUGUAUAAGUAUUUAAUCUUAUACCAACAAAGUGGUAUCAGAGCCAUAGUUAUCUUGAGGGGCCAGUGAGGUGAGUGAACCCAAACACCUUCUAAAAUCAUUUAGCAAUGGAAGAGUCAAGUCUCACAGUUGCACCAUCAAUUCUUGAUGGAGACAAUUAUGAAACUUGGGCUGUUAGAAUGACAGUUCAUCUACAAGCACUUGAUGUUUGGGAAGCAGUGGACACUNNNNNNNNNNNNNNNNNNNNNNNNNNNNNNNNNNNNNNNNNNNNNNNNNNNNNNNNNNNNNNNNNNNNNNNNNNNNNNNNNNNNNNNNNNNNNNNNNNNNAGAGUUAAGGAUCCUUCCCCAAUGACUGGGGUUGUGUUACCAUUGGCUGUGGAAACAAUUUUUUGUGAGGAAGGUCUAAGGGGUGAAACCUGUCUAGAAUCAAAAGUCAUAUGAUCUGUAGUACCAGAAUCAAUUAUCCAUGCACUAUUAAUAACAGGUGUAAAAGUAUUUAAAAACUUACCACCAUGAUCUGUAGCAGCUACCAAUGCAGAGGCUUUCUCAGCAACAUUAGCCUCUAUUUUAUUUCGGCAACAGUUGCAAUCGAGCUUUUCUUGGAAUCCUUCUUCCGUUGAUCACGAUUAUUAUCAUUAAUAACAAAGUGUUGAUAGCCUAAACAUGAUCUAAAGGUCCAUGGUUCAAACCCUCGGUUCCUCAUUGUUUUCCUGGUCAUACCAAGAGUCGUUGCUUUGAAAUUGUGGGAUAUCCAGAUUGGUGGGAUCAAUCUUAUUGCAGUGAGUGCAUUUGAAGGUUGACUUAUCAAUAUUAGGGCUUGUCUUAGGAUGGAUGAUCGCUGUCGGACUACCAUAGCGACAAAAUAUCCAGGAUUUCAGUUCCAUGGCUCUGAUACCAUCUUCAAAUUGAUAAAUGGUAGUUUUUUCCAUUCAUUACUUUCAUUCGUUCAUGUACAGAUAAUAUAUAGAGGGUAAUUACCAUUCUAAGAAUAAGAAGGAAUGAUACAAGGAAAGAAUGAUAUAAGGAAAUAACAACUAAUAUCCUAAUAUCUUAACUUUCCUAAUAUCUCAAUAUUCCUAAUAUCUCAAUAUUCUUAAUAUCUUAACUUUCCUAAUAUUUAAACAUUCCUAAUAUUUCAACACUAAAUAAUAUAAGGAAAGAAUGAUAUACGGAAAGCAUUCCUAAUAUCUCAACAUAUUUUGUAGAUGCUAGAGCUGCUAAUGCUUCUGAAAACGAUGAUUAAGUAAACUGAUACUCCAUCCAAAUUCCAUCUCCAGUUUGUUAAUUGGCAUCACCAACUGUAUAGCCAUGACUGGUAACAUGUGCUUUCUCUGGAUGUUGUAGAGACAACUUUGUUCUGUUGGAUCGCUGGACCCAAAGAAGGUGAAAGGGAAUAUUGUAUACUGUCUGGUUGCAGUAUACAAUAUUUUUCCUGUAAUCAUCCUUGUCGCUAGUAGAUAUUUUUCCAAUGCGUGUGCUUUGACCCGGAGGUCCCAUCAAUAAUGGGAAAGCGCUCAACAUGUGGAGAACCGUGCUCCAAGUCAAAGCCAACCCGUAAUAGAAUAAAUAAAGAAGUAAGGUAGAAGUAGUUGCCAGGUAUGGUUCGUCCUUUUAGGAUGAAGCCUACAGGGCUCACUGUAAAAAUUUUCAGGGUUUAUGUUACUAGGACAACUGCACAUUCAAGCCUGGCCCGCUGCUGAACCUAGUAACUCAUGGUACAAUGCUGGCAGCCUUUGGCUCAAGGCAGCAACACAGUUGGCUGGUUCUGAUGAUUCUUGGACCAACUACAAUGAACCUGCAGGAUGAAGAGACACUAGGGCCUCAUCAGCAAGCACAGGAACGUAUAACGAAAGCAACAGUGCUACGCCAUUGACAAUUCAAGUCUUCAUACGGCACCAGCUUUGCAUUACCUAGAGGCUUAAAAAUGAUAUCGCCAUCAAGUUAAACACUGCCUUAAACACAGCGAAUGAAUUAAAGCGAGUUUCACAAUGUGGAGAUAUCAAGAAUUGAUGAUAUCAUUUGAUAGUUGAGUCAAAUUUUUUAACAUGAUAAUUUUCUCUAGUAGGACCUUCCCUCCUAGGGACUUUCCGGUAACCUUCACUUGGAGAGCCUUCUGGCCCCAUUGUAAUCCCAGAAGCUAUUUCAGAGCACACCGGUUUUGAAUUAUCCUCUUUUCUACACUUUCUUAGUCUUCCAUGCUUUAUAAAUCAACGCCAGGCAACAUUAUCCUUUACCAUGACUAAGCAUGUAAAAGAUGGUCAAAUUGUUGGUAUGAAAAGACCAUGUUGAGUAUUUCCUUUCAUUUCAUUUUCGAUCAGAUGCACCUGCAACAAAGUGGUAAAGCCAUAUUGAUAAAUUUUUUUCAUGUAGUGGAGCCGGUUUUUCUAGGUAUCGGUUUUAGAACAGUAGAAACUUAUGAACUGUGAUCUCCAACUUAUUUAUAAAUAGGUGAUGACCAUGCUGCCUCAAGAAUGCAUAUCGAUUACAUAUAUCGAUAUUAUACCUUUUCAAUAUGAGCUUAAUCAUCCAUUUAAUUUCUCUCAUUUCACAAUUCUUAUCUGAUUUUAGUUUAAUUAUACAUGCUGGGGAGGGUCUAUGUCAAGACCCCCAUGUGAUAGGGUAAGGAUAUAAGAUUAUUUAAGAUUUUCUUAUUAUCUUGUGACUUAGGAUAAGCUUGAAAGAAAAGAAAAGGUACUUAGCAAAAGUUUCUAGAGGUGUACAAAAGCUUCCUAUUGACUAUUAUUACCUAUCCAUUAUACAUUUUGAUAAAAAUAGAUUAAUAUUGAAUUAUGCAUACAAUUUGAGGUAGCAAAUACUUUAAAAGGGAUAGCAGAGAUCCCCCCUUAAAUCUUAAUUGAAGAACAUAUAGCAGAGGUUCUAAACCCAGAGAUCUAGGGGAAUCAAAUGGGGAUUAUGAAUCUUCCUCUUUUCCUUCUCUCUUUCAUUCUCUUCUAUGUGAUGCAGUGUCCGACACUGGCUCUCAAACGGGUAAGCAUUAUUCUCUAUCUCCCUCAAUUCUCUAAGUGGCUAACUACCUGUCUUAAUCUGUUGUUACUUGAUUUUUUUGUACCCGUAUUCUUCAGUCUUACGUGGUGUACCUAGGUGGCCAUUCACAUGGAUCUCAACGUACUUCUGAAAUGGAUCUCAACAGAAUUACUGAUUCCCAUCAUGAUCUUUUGGGUUCUUGCCUGGGCAGGUGAUAAACAUUGAUAUUACUAAUCAAUCCCACACUACUGGCUACUAUAUUAUUUGCUUUAGAUCCAUUCUAUUUUUGUUGCUGCAGCAAGGAGAAAGCACAAGAAUCAAUUUUUUACUCCUACACACAUCACAUAAAUGGUUUUGCUGCUAACCUGGAAGACGAAGAGGCAGCAGAGCUCUCAAGUACAGUACUCACACACAACAGCAGCUAUAGAUAUUUACAUUCUUUAUGCUUCGUUUCCUUCCCAUAGUUCAAUCUUUUUAAGCACCAUAAUGUUUCUAUAUUGUGUUUUGAAUGCAGAGCGGCCAGGAGUUGUAUCUAUUUUCUUAAACCAGAAACAUAAACUGCAAACGACUCGGUCUUGGGAGUUUCUUGGACUAGAGAGAAAUGGAGAGAUUCCUGCAGAUUCUAUCUGGGUUAAGGCGAGAUUUGGUGAAGAUAUAAUUAUUGGCAACAUAGAUACUGGUAAUCUUGAUUUUCUAACCAGCUUUGAGAUAUGGUAGAAUAUUAAAAGUUACUCUUUCAAUGAGGCAUCUCCAUUCAGUAGCAUUACUCUUUUGAAAUAUUUCUUGGCUUGCUUAUCAGAAACAGAUUGAGGAAUCAACAAACUAGUUAGUGUUAUUGCAUUCAUACAAUGUGAUCAAUAUGAAUUACUUCCCUGUAGCUUAUACUAAUGAAAUUUGUCUUUGAUAUAAAAUGAAAUUAAUUAAAUAGAAAAAGACUUAAAAUUUUAGCAAGGGGGUAUAUUUCAUUAUUUAUAGCUAGCGGCUUAAAUUGAUCAAUCCACCCUCAUUAAUCAACUUUGGUUUUUCUUUUUCCUUGGCCUAAUGGUUUUCUAAAUCCAUGGUGGUUGUGGUAGGUGUUUGGCCUGAAUCAGAAAGUUUCAAUGACCAAGGAAUGGGACCGAUUCCAUCAAAGUGGAAAGGUUACUGUGAGCCCAAUGAUGACGUUAAGUGCAACAGGUUUUUCCCUCUUCACCUGCUCUCAACCUCAACUCCACAAGAAGCGUUAUAUGCAAAAUUUUCUCAUGUAACUAAUCAAAAGGGAAAGCAGAAACUUUCUUGACAUGAAGAGUAACAUGAUAGAUUUUUCUUAUUUUUGGUUUGUGUGUGAAAUAUCAAAUAAAUGUUGUAAUGAUUAGGAAGCUGAUUGGAGCGAGGUACUUCAACAGAGGGGUUGAAGCAAAGUUGGGGAGUCCGCUCAAUUCUUCCUACCAAACUGUACGAGAUACAAAUGGGCAUGGCACGCAUACACUGUCCACAGCUGGUGGUAGAUUUGUUGGUGGAGCAAACCUCUUGGGUUCAGGCUACGGAACUGCAAAGGGCGGCUCUCCUAGUGCUCGAGUUGCUUCAUACAAGUCUUGCUGGCCAGAUUGCAAUGAUGCUGAUGUAUUGGCUGCCAUUGAUGCUGCCAUACAUGAUGGCGUUGACAUCCUCUCCCUUUCAAUUGCAUUCGUAUCUCGCGAUUAUUUCUUAGACAGCAUCGCAAUUGGAUCUCUUCAUGCUGUCCAGAAUGGAAUUGUUGUUGUCUGUGCUGGCGGGAAUUCUGGGCCCACGCCUGGGAGUGUUACAAAUUCGGCACCAUGGAUUAUAACUGUUGCAGCUAGUACAAUUGAUAGGGAAUUUCCCUCUAAUGUCAUGCUGGGUAAUAACAAGCAAUUCAAGGUUGGUCCAUUAAUUCUACCAAUUUAAGAAAACACAUUUCUUUUAGUUUUCAUGGUCUGUAUAUCCACAUUUAUAUUCUUCUUGAUUCAGCUUUUGUGAUUUGUUUUGAAUCAGGGCCUCAGCUUCAAAACCAAUAGUUUAACAGCCGAGAAGUUUUAUCCCCUGGUAUAUUCUGUAGAUGCUAGAGCUGCUAAUGCUUCUGCAAGAGACGCGUAAGUAAACUGACAACCUAUCAAAAUUUCAUCUUGAUCUUGUUACUUGGCAUCACCAACUCCUAGGUCUCAUUCUAGAGGCAUCCGGAUUCUUCUGGUUUGAUGCAGAUAGACUCAGUUUGGUAACCAACUAUAUCUUACCACCAUAAAGGGACUGGUAAUAACAGCCUUCUUGGCCCUUUUAACUGCACAAAAUACAAAACUAAGGAUUUUGAUAAUUGGGAGUCAUCAAAUAGCACCAAUCCAUACUUUGUAGAGCAGGUUUGACUAGCUGUUGCUGUAUUUGCUUUCUGUCUGUGUUGUAGACAACUUUGCUCAGUUGGAUCCCUGGACCCAAAGAAGGUGAAAGGAAAGAUUGUGUACUGUCUGGUUGAUCCGAGUGGUCUUAAUGCACUUAAUGUUGAGAAGAGCUGGGUGGUUGCUCAGGCUGGUGGCAUUGGGAUGAUUCUUGCUAACCAUCUUACUACCGCUACUUUGAUUCCUCAAGCCCACUUUGUUCCCACUUCACGAGUCUCUGCAGCUGAUGGUCUUGCCAUUUUGUUAUACAUUCACACUACGAAGUAAAGAACUUAUUUACUUCCUGACACCGUGUAAUAUCCAUUUUCUGAGAUGACCCAUCUUAGUGUUUGAGGAUUUUUUUUCUAUUUUUUUUUCUUUUUUUCUUCACUUUCAGAUACCCUGUAGCUUACAUCAGUGGUGCAACUGAAGUGGGUACAGUCACAGCACCAAUCAUGGCUUCCUUUUCGUCUCAGGGUCCUAAUACGAUCACUCCUGAAAUCCUCAAGGUGGUGUUUUCUUUCUUCUAUGUAAAUGAACUAAUUGUUCCGUGGAGCAUUUUUUUUUCCUUUCACUCCUAUUGGAAAACUAAGCUCCAGCAAGUAUCAACAGUAGGUGUUUGACAUGAAACCCAACUGUCCAUUGAGUGAAAAAAAGUACCUAGACUAAUUAAGGAUCAUACCACAAGUAUGCCACAAAAUCUGAGGCAAGGAGUGUCAGUUGCUAAAACCGUUUCCUUAAUUUUCUUAACAAUAAUGUAAGAUCCAACAUUAUUUGAUGUCCAUCUACAGCCUGACAUCACCGCACCCGGAGUGCAAAUUAUAGCUGCUUACACAGAAGCAAGGGGGCCUACAUUUCUCCAAUCAGAUCAUCGUCGUGUUCUCUUCAACAUCUUAUCUGGUACUUCAAUGUCAUGCCCUCAUGUUUCUGGAGCUGUAGGCCUUCUCAAAAAAAUUCACCCUAAUUGGAGCCCAUCAGCCAUAAGAUCUGCAAUCAUGACCUCCGGUCAGUCCCAUAUGUUAAAUUUUCAUCAGAUCCGCAUUCAGACAUUUGUUAUACAGUAAUGCUGUUUUAAGAUUAUUAUUAACAUGAACAACUGUUGCUUAACAUUGACUACCAUAUGGAUCCCAGCGAGAACCAGAAGUAAUUUGAGACAACCUAUAGCAAAUGGCACACUAGCAGGGGGAAACCCCUUCAACUAUGGUGCAGGGCAUCUCUCGCCUAACCGUGCAAUGGACCCAGGCUUGGUCUAUGACUUAACCAUCACUGACUACUUGAACUUUCUGUGCUCUAUUGGCUAUAAUGCAACACAACUUUCAACAUUUGUGGACAAGAAAUACGAAUGCCCAUCAAAGCCCACGAGACCUUGGGAUUUAAACUACCCCUCAAUAACUGUCCCGAGUCUCUCAGGCAAGGUAACGGUGACUCGGACCCUAAAGAAUGUUGGAACUCCAGCUACAUACACGGUUCGAAUUAAGGCGCCUAGUGGAAUAUCGGUGAAGGUGGAACCUAAGAGACUGAGAUUUGAAAAGAUAAAUGAAGAGAAAAUGUUCAAGGUGACAAUAGAGGCCAAGAGAGAUGAUGGGGGAGGUGAGUAUGUUUUCGGAAGGCUCAUAUGGUCAGAUGGAAAACACUUCGUCGGAAGCCCUAUAGUGGUCAAUGCAACCACUUUCCAUAUGUAACCAUGUUUUUAUUCAGCCGUAUGCAAUAUCUCAAGAGUAAUUACCAUAAAUAAAUUACUCACCAGUAAUAAAAAGAACAUACCUUCGAUUUUAUUGUGAUAAUAUCAUCCAUGGAAAACGAUGAGUUCAUAAAGGAUGAGCUAAUAUCAUCUUAUAGAUGAGAUCUAUAGUUUAGAUAUUAAAGUGGCCAAAAGAAACUUGGUCUUGAUAUAUGAAAUUACCUAGAUAUCGAUGAAUAGGUGGUCUUUCAAUUAAUUGUAAGUGCAAACUCUAUUAUCAAUUUUUAUUUGUUUUUUUGGAUUAAUUAAUUUGUGAAAACACAUCAAUCCCAUGCAUAUACAAGCAAUAUCAAUCUCACACAAUGACACAAGAUAUAAAGUGGAAAAACAACUUGGCAAUAUAUCAUGUGUAAAAACUAUAAGGCAAACUCUUGACCACAAAUAAUCUACUAAAUACCAAAAAAUGGUUUAUAAAUUUAUUUAAUAGACAACACCUGCUCCAUACGAGAAAAUACUAUCCCUUAAAACCUUUAUUAAGGUUGAAGCAAUUUGAGUCCACACUCUUUUGAUAGUUGAAUGGUCCCUUUCAAGAAAAACUUGAAAGUUUGAGAGAUAGAAGCUCAAGCUUUGGGGGGUAUGAUUAUUUCUCUCUUAGGGUUUUUGUUUUUCAACAUAAUAAACCCUUUUAUAUUUGAAAAACUCUAGACCUCAAAUAUGGAGAGUUUUCCCACUUUAAAACAUUUCAUAAAUGGAUUUUAAUUUUAAAGUAAAAAAUGGAAUGGGAAUCACUAAAAAUCAAUUAGAUGUUUGAAUCUUGAGGGGGCAUUUGAAUCCCUUCUUGGGCUUUUGAAUGCUCUUCCUAUGCUCUAUCUCCAUUUUUACAAUUUUCAUACCAUCUUUCAUGCUAUUUCAAACUUAGGUUCACUCCCAAAUACACCCUAAGGAUCAGGCGGUCAAGACUCAUCUGGUCAUGUUGAUUCUUUGUGCCUUCGGACUUUAAGAAAAGGGGAUCAUCAAAUAGCAACAAUUCAUAAUUUGUAGAGAAGGUUUGACUAGCUUUUGCUGCAUUUGCUUUCUGUCUGUGUUGUAGACAACUUUGCUCUGUUGGAUCCCUGGACCCAAAGAAGGUGAAAGGGAAGAUUGUAUACUGUCUGGUUGGUCUUAAUGCAAUUGUAGAGAAGAGCUGGGUGGUUGCUCAGGCAGGUGGCGUUGGGAUGAUUCUUGCUAACCAUCUGACCACCACUGCGUUGAUUGCUCAGGCCCACUUUGUUCCCACUUCACACGUCUCUGCAGCUGAUGGUCUUGCCAUUUUGUUAUACAUCCAGACUACGAAGUAAUGUUCUCUCUGUCUCUAAAUGCUUAAUUCCAGGUUCUUUGCUUCCUGAUGCCAUGUUAAAUUCAUUUUCUGAGAUGGCCCAUUUUAGUGUUUGAGGAUUUUUUAUUUUUGUUUUUUCUCAUUCAGGUACCCUGUGGCUUAUAUCAGUGGUGCAACAGAAGUGGGUACGGUACCAGCACCAAUCAUGGCUACUUUUUCGUCUCAGGGCCCUAAUCUAAUCACUCCAGAAAUCCUCAAGGUGGGUUACAUAUUAUAGUCCCAUGUAAAUGAACCUACUUGUUCAGAGGAGAUUUAGUUUUAGUAUUUUUUUUCCACUCCUGCAUUGGAAGACAAAACUCCUGCAAGUAUCAAGAGUUGGUUUUGACAAGAACCCCAACUGUCCAUUGAGUGAAAAAAGUGGCAAGACUAGUUAGGAAGCAUACCACAAUAUCUGAGGCAAGGGGUGUCGGUUGUUAAAACCAUUUUCUUAAUUUUCUUCUAUUAAUUUAAGAUCCAACAAUAUUGAUGAUAAUCUACAGCCUGACAUCACCGCACCCGGAGUGCGAAUUUUAGCUGCUUACACAGAAGCAAAUGGGCCUACAGGUCUUCAAUCAGAUGAUCGUCGUGUUCCCUUCAACAUCGGAUCUGGUACUUCAAUGUCAUGUCCUCGUGUUGCUGGAACUGUAGGCCUUCUAAAAAAGAUUCACCCCCAUUGGAGUCCAUCAGCCAUAAGAUCUGCAAUUGUGACCACCGGUCAGUGCUAUAUGUCAAACUUUCAGUAGAGUUGCUAUUUAUAAAGUUUGUGCUGUUUAAAGGUUAUUAUUUACAUGAACAACUGUUGCUUGACGUUGACUACAAUAUGGAUCCCAGCAAGAACCAGAAAUAAUUUGAGACAACCUAUGGCGAAUGGUACACUUUCAGAGGCAAACCCCUUCAACUAUGGAGCAGGAUAUCUAUCGCCUAACCGUGCAAUGGACCCUGGCUUGGUCUAUGACUUGACCACCACUGACUACUUGAACUUUUUGUGCUCUAUUGGCUAUAAUGCAACCCAACUAUCAAGGUUUGUAGACAAGCCAUGCUAAUGCCCAUCAAAGCCCAUGAGCCUUUUGGAUUUAAACUACCCCUCAAUUACCGUCCCCAGUCUCUCAGGCAAGGUAACAGUGACUCGGACUCUGAAGAAUGUUGGAACCCCAGCUACAUACACAGUUCAAACUGAGGUGCCUAGUGGAAUAUCGUUGAAGGUGGAACCCAAUACGCUUAAAUUUCAAAAGAUUAAUGAAGAGAAAACAUUCAAGGUGCCACUGGAGGCAAAGAGAGAUGGUGAGGGAGGUGAGUAUGUUUUUGGAAGGCUCAUAUGGUCAGAUGGAGAACACUACGUCAGAAGCUCUAUAGUGGUCAAUGCAACAACCAUGCUUUUGAUUGAACUUUAUGUUACAUCAAGUGUAAGGACCAUAAAUAAAUCUAUGUUUACCAUGUGGAAGCAUAGUUAAUAAAAAAGACAGACCUUGAACUUCCCUUUGAUCUAACAUCUUCCAUGGAAAACAAUGAGCUUAUAAACUUAUGUCUACCAGAAAACUGUAAUACCGCGAUGCCUGAAUCCUAGAUAUUAAAGAUCCUGAUAUAAGAUUUUCAUUGCAUUGCCAAUUUAAAAAGUACCAAUACUGGAGAUGGUGACAUGAAACAACCACAUUGAUGAAGCAGAAUUGGACUAGGAGCCUAACAAAGACAUUGAUGAAGCAGAAUGGGACCAGGAGUAAGGACUACCUAUUUUGGCAAUAUACAUAUCUAAACCAACCAUGUCUGCUGUGUAGUUCUACUUCUAGGACACCUUGUCUGAUCUAUCUAUCAGUUCCACAACAUAAGAAAAAAUGUAUGAACUGAAAUCUCCAACUGACUUAUAUAGUAAUGACAUUUUUUAAAGAUAAUGGAGUGAAAAAGAUGAUGAACAUGUAUCUUCUAUAAUAAACCUUUUCCUUCAUUUGCUUGAUUAUGCAUUUUCUCAAAUUUUGCAACUUUUAUCUGAUUUUAGUUUAGUUAUACAUAUUCACAAGGGUCUCUUUCAAAACCCCACUUGACAUAAAUAUAUUUCUUUGAUCAAUGAUCAUUAUUUAAGGUAAAUUUCUUUGAAGAGUUAGGUGGAUCUGGGAAGAAAUCAAAUUUGGACAUCAGAUAGUGCUGGGUAAAAUUUUCUAGAAGUGGACAAUCAUUUGCAGAUGGUUCUUAUUGAUUAAUAUUACCUAUCCAUCAUACAUCUUUGAUAAAAAUAUAUAAAAAUAAUUAAUAAAUUAUCCAUGAUUUGUGGAGGCAGGCCUUUUAUAAGGGAUAGUUGAGACUCUCUUACUUGAAGAACAUAUAGCAGAGGUCCUAAUUAACCACAAGGAUACAGGGGAUUAGAUGGGGAUUAGUAGAGACUCUCUUGUCUUUCUCUCUUUCAUUGUCUUCUCUGUGAUGCAAUGUCCAACACUGGCUCUCAAACAGGCAAGCAUUAUUCUCUCUCUCUCCCUCCCUCAAUUCUCAGUGGCUAACUACCUAUCUUAGCUUGUUUGUAUAGAACCUCAUGUCAUGUGAUGUUACUUGAUUUUUGUGUACCCCUUAUUCUGCAGUCUUAUGUGGUGUACCUAGGCAGUCAUUCACAUGGGGUUGAACCUACUUCUUCAUUGCACUUCAGCAAAAUAACCGAUUCCUAUUAUGAUCUCUUGGGUUCUUGCAUGGGCAGGUGAUAAAGCAUUAAUGUACUUAUUAAUUCCAUCCUACUGGCUACUAUAUUAGUUGCUUAAUUUCCACUCUGUUUUUGUUGCUGCAGCAAGAAGAAGGCACAAGAAGCAAUUUUUUACUCUUACACAAGUUACAUAAAUGGUUUUGCUGCUGUCCUGGAAGAUGAAGAGGCAGCUGAGCUUUCAAGUAUUAUACUGGCACACAACAGCACCUAAAGAUAUUUGAGUACUUUUGACAGUGAUUUUAGGAAGUGUUUUUAACAUUUUUAAUACUUAAGAGGUAAAAAAUUUCAAGUGAUAGAUAUACUAGAAACCCUUACAAGAAUCAUUGUCAAACACACUCUUACAUUCUUUAUAAUUCUUCUCCUUCCCAUUCUUUGAUUGCUUUAAGCACUAUAAUCUUUCUAUAUUGUGUUUGAGUGCAGAGCAGCCAGGAGUUUUAUCUGUUUUCUUAAACCAGAAAAAUGAACUGCACACGACUAGGUCCUGGGAGUUCCUUGGACUAGAGAGAAAUGGAGAGAUUCCUGCAAAUUCUAUCUGGGUGAAGGCGAGAUUUGGCGAAGAAAUCAUUAUUGGGAACCUUGACACUGGUAAUCUUGAUUGCUAGAUAGCUUUGAGAUUUGGUGAAGUAUAUAAAUUUAUUGACUCUUACAAUGAGUUAUCUUCAUUCAAUAGCAUUGCUGUUUUGAAAUAUUUCUCGGCUUGUCUUUCAGAAAAAGCUUCAGGAAUCAAUAAGCUAGCUAGGAUUAUUGCAUGCUUACAGUGUAGAGAUGGGGACUCCUUAACUAAACUGGCACCUAAUCAUAUUAGCUGCAAUCCUAAUUGUGAUGAAUUUUGACUUAGUAAACAAGAUUUUAACCAUUUUAAAUAGGUGCCUGAUUAAUCUGGUGCUAAUUGUUGAGAUUUCAAACUAGACAAAAUAAAUACUUUAGUUCGAGAUGUGAUCGAUAUUAAUCAAUUCCCUUUUAGGUCACUAAUGAAGUUAACAUUUGAUAUAAAUUGAAAUUAAUUACGUAGUAGGUCAACCUUGAGCAAUUACUUAAAUAGAAUUAAAAAUUUAGCAGAGGGUUAUAUUUAUUCAUUAUUAAUUACUUGUGGCUUAUAUUAAUCGAUUCUCGGCUGCUAUUUAGGUGAUUAAAGGGUUAAAAUAACUUUAUGUUAAAGAAAAUUUGACUCUUGAUCAUUUUCCUCCUCACAAGUUUGACAUUAAUCCAUAUUCAUCAACUUUGGUCUUAUUUUUCAUUUUCCUAAUGUUUUUCUAAAUCCAUGGUGGUUGAGAGUAGGUGUUUGGUCAGAAUCGGACAGCUUCAAUGACAAAGGAAUGGAGCCAAUUCCAUCCAAGUGGAAAGGUUACUGUGAGCCCAGUGAUGGUGUUAAGUGCAACAGGUUUUCCUUCUUCACAUGCUCUCAACGUGAACUCCACAAGAAACAUUAUAUGCAAAAAAAAAAAUUGAGUAAUUAUGCAAGAGGGAAAGCAGAAACUUUCUUGUGUAAUUAAGCAAAAGGUGUUUCUUAUUUUUGGUUGGUGUAUGGAAUGUUAAAUGAUUAGGAAGCUGGUCGGAGCAAGGUACUUCAACAAAGGGUAUGAAGCAGCCUUGGGGAAGCCGCUCGAUUCCUCCUACCAAACUGCAAGAGAUACAAAUGGGCAUGGCACGCAUACACUGUCCACAGCUGGUGGUGGAUUUGUUGGUGGAGCAAACCUCUUGGGUUCAGGCUAUGGAACUGCAAAGGGCGGAUCUCCUAGUGCUCGAGUUGCCUCGUACAAGGUUUGCUGGCCAAGUUGCUAUGAUGCUGAUAUAUUGGCUGCCUUUGAUGCUGCCAUACAUGAUGGGGUUGACGUCCUCUCUGUUUCACUUGGAGGUCCUCCUCGUGAUUAUUUCUUGGACAGCAUCGCAAUUGGAUCUUUUCAAGCUGUCAAGAAGGGAAUUGUUGUUGUCUGCUCAGCUGGGAAUUCUGGCCCCACGCCUGGGAGUGUUGAAAAUUCGGCACCAUGGAUUAUAACUGUUGCAGCUAGUACAAUUGAUAGGGAUUUUCCCUCUUAUGUCAUGUUGGGCAAUAACUUGCAAUUCAAGGUGGCUAACAGUUUAGGAAAACAUAUUUCUUUUAGCUUUCAUGGUCCGUAAAUCCGUAAGUAUAUUUUUCUUGAUUCAACUUUUAUGAAUUGUUUUGAAUCAGGGCCUGAGCUUCUAUACCAAUAGUUUACCGGCUGCGAAGUUUUAUCCCCUGGUAUAUUCUGUAGAUGCUAGAGCUCCUAAUGCUUCUGCAAGAGAGGCGUAAGUAAACUGAUCCUCCAUUCAAAUUCAAUCUUGAUCUUGUUAAUUCUCAUCACCAACUCCUCCAUCUCGCUAUAUAGGUAUGACUAACUCUUACUGUAUUUGCUUUCUCUCAAUGUUGUAGACAACUUUGCUUUGUUGGAUCCCUGGACCCCGAGAAGGUGAAAGGGAAGAUAGUAUACUGCCUGAUUGGCCUCAAUGAAAUCGUUCAGAAGAGCUGGGUGGUUGCUCAGGCAGGUGGCAUCGGGAUGAUUCUUGCUAACCGUCUGUCCACUAGUACAUUGAUUCCUCAGGCCCACUUUGUUCCCACUUCAUAUGUCUCUGCAGCUGAUGGUCUUGCCAUUUUGUUAUACAUCCACAUUACAAAGUAAAGAUCUUUCUGUCUCUAAAUGCUUAAUUCCAGAUUGUUAGCUUCCUGAUACCAUGGUAAAAUCCAUUUCUGAGAUGGCCCAUUCUAGUGUUUGAGGAAAUUUUUUUUAUUGUUUUCUCAUUCAGGUACCCAGUGGCUUACAUCAGAGGAGCAACUGAAGUAGGUACAGUAGCAGCACCAAUCAUGGCUUCCUUUUCGUCUCAGGGUCCUAAUACGAUCACUCCAGGAAUUCUCAACGUGGGUUACAAAUUAUAGUCCCAAGUAAAUGAACUAAUAGUUCAGAGGAGUUCAAUUUUAGUUUUAUUCUUCCACUCAUGCAUUAAAUGACUCAACUCCUGCAAGCAUCCAGAGUUGGUGUUUAGCAUGGUUUGGUGUUUGGCAUGAAACCAACUAUCCGCUGAGUGAAACAAGUAACAAGACUAUCUAAGGAUCAUACCAAAAAAUUUGAGGCAAGAAGUGUGAGUUGUUAAAACUAUUUUCUUAAUUUUCUUAACAUUAUUGUAAAGAACCAAAUAUACUGAUGUUAAUCUACAGCCUGACAUCACCGCACCCGGAGUGAACAUUUUAGCUGCAUACAUAGAAGCAAAGGGGCCUACGUUUCUUCAAUCAGAUGAUCGUCGUGUUCUCUUCAACAUCGUAUCUGGUACUUCAAUGUCAUGCCCUCAGGUUUCUGGGACUGUAGGCCUUCUCAAAAAGAUUCACCCUCAUUGGAGUCCAUCAGCCAUAAGAUCUGCAAUCAUGACCACCGGUCAGUACCAUAUGUUAAAAUUUCAGCAGAGCUGCAUAUUAUAUAGUUUGCGCUUUUUAAUUAUUGUUAAUAUGAACAACUGUUGCUUAAUGUUGACUACAAUAUGGAUCCCAGCGAGAACCAGAAAUAAUGUGAGACAACCUAUGGCAAAUGGUACACUUGAGGAGGCAAACCCUUUCAACUAUGGUGCAGGACAUCUCUGGCCUAACCGUGCAAUGGACCCAGGCUUGGUCUAUGACUUGACCACCAUUGACUACUUGAACUUUCUGUGCUCUAUUGGCUAUAAUGCAACCCAACUGUCAAGGUUUGUGGACGAGCCAUAUGAAUCCCCACCAAAUCCUAUGAGCGUUCUGGAUUUAAACUACCCCUCAAUUACUGUCCCCAGUUUCUCAGGCAAGGUAACAGUGACUAGGACCCUGAAGAAUGUUGGAACUCCAGCUACAUACGCGGUUCGAACUGAGGUGCCUAGUGAACUAUUGGUGAAGGUGGAACCUGAGAGACUGAAAUUCGAAAAGAUUAAUGAAGAGAAAACAUUCAAGGUGACACUGGAGGCCAAGAGAGAUGGUGAGGGAAGUGGGUAUAUUUUUGGAAGGCUCAUAUGGUCAGAUGGAGAACACUACGUCAGAAGCCCUAUAGUGGUCAAUGCAACCACUCUUCAUAUGUAAUCAUGCUUUUGAUUGAUCUUUAUGUAAUACAUAUGGGUAAUUAUAACAAAUAAAUCUAUAUAUACCAUGUGGAAUCAACAAUAAUAGAAGACAGACCUUCGACUUACCUUAUCUAAUAUCUUCCAUGGAAAACGACCAGAUAAUUAGCUUAUAUCCUCCCUCUGAAUUCUAUUUAUUGAAGAACCUAUUUGUGAUUUUCAUUGCAAUGGCCGCCCCAAAAAUACCAAUACUUGAGAUGGUGCAUGAAACAAUAUAUUGAUGGGAGGAAUUGUAAUAGGACGAACAAAAAAAAUAACAUUGAAGAGGCAGAAUUGGACGAGGACCCAUGAAACAAUACCAUUGAUGAAACAGAAUUGGACAAGUAGUUAGGACUCUUGGAAAGUCAAACCUAAUUUUUAUUAAAAUUAGAAUUAGAUUUAAUUUCCACAAGUCAAAGAAAACAUUUUAUUUUUUGAAUGUUAUUCGUCCCACAUGCUCUUCGACAUCCAGACAAGUUCAGAGCAAUCAGUCACCGUUCUCCCAAGUUCUUAAUCGUUUCUCGGUCCACCAGUAAUUACUAGUAAUGACAUUUUUUAAAGAUAAUGAAGUGAAGAAGAUGAUGAACAUGCCACCUCAAGAAUGCAUAUUAAUUACAUAUAUCAAUAUUAUACCUUUUCCUUUCAAUCCUAGUGAGGGUCUAUGUCAAAACCCCUCUCGACUCUGUUACACUGGAGAUGGGGAAAUGAAUAUUAAUAUAUUUACUUGGUCAAUAAAGGUUAAGAUUUGGAAAUUUUCCUGUAGAGUUAGGUCGAGCUUAGAGGUCAAAUUUGGAGAUCAAAUGGUGCUGAGUAAAAUUUUCUAGAAGUGUACAGUUCAGUAGCGGAAGCUUUCUAUUGACUAGUAUUACCUAUCCAUAAAUGAUUCUGCAAUUUGAGGAGCAAAUCUUUGUAAAGGAUAGUAGAGACCCUCUUACUUGAAGAACGUAUAGCAGAGAUUCUAAUUAACCACAAAGGUACAGGGGGAAGUAGAUGGGGAUUAUGAGUCUUCCUCUUUUCCUUCUCUCUUUCAUCAUCUUCUCUGUGAUGCAGUGUCCAACACAGGCUCUCAAACAGGCAAGCAUUAUUCUCUAUCUCUCUCAAUUCUCAAAGUGGCUAACUACCCACCUUAACAUGUUGUAUAGAACCUGUUGGUAUAAGAUUAAAUACUUAUACAAAAAAUAUAUUUUUGGGCUGCUGGAACACAUUUUAUUGAUGAAGAGUGCUGAAUUUAUACAUGAACUUAUAACUGAAAUGACAUUAGAAUAGCAGAAAAUCAAGCUACUAGAUGAUGAACAACUACUUCCUAUAAAAUAGAAACCAAAUCUUGACCAAAUAAAAAUAAGAAAAUAUCUAGAUGUUGCAGAUUUUGUGCAAGACUCCGGCUGCAAUAUUCAAAAUUCAAAUUCCAGCAGAUACUAAGUCAAAAUUCAACACUCCUCCUUGACUUCGUAGAUGCAAACUCCAAGUCUUGCACGUAGACACUCAAACCAAACUUCGAAAGGGGUCUGCUUCUUUAACACUUUUGUUGGCAAUAUGUUCAGAAAAUAUACUGCUCUACUUGCAGUUUUAGCCCAAAAUUUUUUAGGUAGAUAUUUUUCAUGCAGAAGGCAUCUUGUCAUCUUCAAAAUUGUUCUAUUUUCCCUCUCCACGACUCCAUUUUGUUGUGGAUUAUAUGGUGCAGUGAGCUGGUGAACAUUGUUUGCAUUCCAUUUCAAGGAUGGCAUCUUUUGAGAUCCACCAACAUCAGUAUGCACCAGUUGCAGUUUUUGGGUUGCUCUCCAGGAUAUUUUCUUUGGAAAGAGAAGUUUAGUUUGCUUCCCAUAUUGACAAGUAGCACAUAUAGGAAGAUCUUUUUCUAAGUCAGGAAGUCCUUCAGCUAUUUGAUUUUUCUUCAUGUAGAGCACAUCAUCAUGAUGAAAGUGCUCGACCUUUCUGUCCCAAAACAUUGUUGUGCUAUCUUGUUGUAAAAUAGCAGUAUGCUCAUCUUCCAGUAAAUUCAAGGCAAAACUCUUGCCCUUCAUUUUUAUGUUGAACACCUCUUUACCUUCAGCAUCCUUGAUAAUGCAAUUCCUAUCUUCAAAAUAAACUUUAAAUUCUUUCUCAACGAGCUGUCCAACACUGAGUAAGUUUUGGUCAAUGUCAGGCACAAACAAAACAUCAUAAAUGAGUUUCAAACCUGUUUGGCUUUCGAUAGCAACCGUUCCUUUGCCCUUCACUAGAAUAUACUCACCAUUUCCAAUUCUGACUUUGGAAAUAAUUGUUCUAUCAAGUUCUCUAAAGAGAUCUUGAUUAUUUGUCAUGUGGUUUGUACAACCAUUAUCCACAAGCCAGCUUUUAGAGGUGCUUUUAUUAGCAAAACACGUUGCUGCAAACAAUUGCUCCUCCUGGCAAUAGUCAACUGCUGCACUAGUUUCUUCCUGCUGUUGAUUUUUGCAAAUCCUCUCCACAUGUCCUUGUUUACCACACUUGUUGCAUUUCACAUCUGGUCUCCACCAACAUUUUUGUGGAGAAUGAUUUGUCUUCUUGCAAUGAGGACAAGGUGGAAAAACUCCAUUUUUCUAGUUGUUGCCACACGACUUGUUGUUGUUCACCUUUCCAUUUUUAUGGCCUGCAAGGAAUGUAAUAAUUCUGUCAAGCUAAUAGUUGACAGAUCUUUUGAAUUCUCCAAAGAGGAAAUUGUAGCUUCAUAUUUCUCAGGAAGUGUAACCAAUAUCUUUUGAACAAUCUUCUCAUUGGAAAAUUCUUUUCCAAGCAGCCUAACUUUGUCUGCUAUUGAAAGAAGUUGUGCAACAUAGUCUUUAACAGCAUCAGACUCCCUCAUUUUCUUCAUUUCAAAUUCUCGAAUCAAGUUCAUCACCUGCAUGUUCUUGAUUCUUUCAUCUCCUUUGUAUUCCUCCUUGAGAUACUCCCAAAUUUCUACAGCUGAAUCAAUUUUCAUGAUUUUGAUGAAAAUUGAUGGUGAAACUGCAGCAAACAAGCAAGCUUUCGCUUUAGCCUUUCUUGUCCUUCUUUCUUUAUGCAACUUCAUUUGAGCCACAGUUGGAUUGGCUCCUAGGGGAGGAACUUCAUAAUUUUCUUCCACUGCUUCCCAAACAUCAAGUGCUUGUAGAUGAACUGUCAUUCUAACAGCCCAAGUUUCAUAAUUGUCUCCAUCAAGAAUUGAUGGUGCAACUGUGAGACUUGACUCUUCCAUUGCUAAAUGAUUUUAGAAGGUGUUUGGGUUCACUCACCUCACUGGCCCCUCAAGAUAACUAUGGCUCUGAUACCACUUUGUUGGUAUAAGAUUAAAUACUUAUACAAAAAAUAUAUUUUUGGGCUGCUGGAACACAUUUUAUUGAUGAAGAGUGCUGAAUUUAUACAUGAACUUGUAACUGAAAUGACAUUAGAAUAGCAGAAAAUCAAGCUACUAGAUGAUGAACAACUACUUCCUAUAAAAUAGAAACCAAAUCUUGACCAAAUAAAAAUAAGAAAAUAUCUAGAUGUUGCAGAUUUUGUGCAAGACUCCAGCUGCAAUAUUCAAAAUUCAAAUUCCAGCAGAUACUAAGUCAAAAUUCAACAGAACCUCAUGUCGUGUGAUUUUUUUCCCCUUUUUCUAGAGUCUUACGUGGUGUACCUAGGUGGCCAUUCACAUGGAGCUCAACCUCCUUCUGCAUCGGACUUCAGCAGAAUUACUGAUUCCCAUCAUGAUCUUUUGGGUUCUUGCAUGAGCAGGUGAUAAACAUUAAUAACUAAUCAAUCCCACAAUACUGGCUACUAUACUAGUUGCUUUAGUCCCAUACUAUUUUUGUUGCUGCAGCAAGAAGAAAGCACGAGAAGCAAUUUUUUACUCCUACACACGUUACAUAAAUGGUUUUGCUGCUGUUCUUGAAGACGAAGAGGCAGCUGAACUCUCAAGUACUCUAUUGUCACACAACAGCAGUUAUAGAUCUCCAUGGUUCAAUUUUUUAAGCACUAUAAUGUUUCUACAUCGUCUUUUUGAAUGCAGAGAAACCAGGAGUUGUAUCUGUUUUCUUAAACCAGAAAAAUGAGCUGCACACGACUAGGUCCUGGGAGUUUCUUGGACUAGAGAGAAAUGGAGAGAUUCCUGCAGAUUCCAUCUGGACAAAGGGGAAAUUUGGAGAAGAUAUAAUUAUUGGAAACCUUGACACUGGUAAUCUUGAUUGCUAGCUAGUUUUGAGAUUUGGUCAAGUAUUAAAAGUUCAUACUCUUUCAAUGAGUUAUCUCCAUUCAAUAGCAUUACUCCUUUAAAAUAUUUCCUGGCUUACCUUCCAGGAAAAAUCUUCGGGAAUCUAUAAGCUAGUUAGUGUUAUUAUAUUGCAUGUAUGCAAUGAAUAGAUAGAGACUCCUCAACUGCACCAGCACCAAGUCAUAUUAGCUGUCAUCCUAAUUGUUAUGGUUUUUUACCAAGUAAACAAUAUUUUUAAUGAUUUCUCCGACUUACUGGGCAAAAAUAACUUAAUUAGUAAAGAAAAUCAGACUCUUAAUCUUGUCCUAAUGGCUUUCUCAUGUUGGUUGAGUGUAGGUGUUUGGCCAGAAUCAGAAAGCUUCAAUGACCAAGGAAUAGGACCAAUUCCGUCAAAGUGGAAAGGUUACUGUGAGACCAAUGAUGGUGUUAAGUGCAACAGGUUUUCCCUCUCACCUGCUCUCAACCCCAACUCCACAAGAAAUAUUAUGUGCAAAAUUUUCUUGCGUAAUUAAGAAAAAGGUGUUUCUUAUUUUGGUUGGUGUGUGGAUUUCCCAAUGUUAAAUGAUUAGGAAGCUGAUUGGAGCGAGAUACUUCAACAAAGGGUAUGAGCAGCCUUGGGGAAACCGCUCAUUCUUCCUACCAANNNNNNNNNNNNNNNNNNNNNNNNNNNNNNNNNNNNNNNNNNNNNNNNNNNNNNNNNNNNNNNNNNNNNNNNNNNNNNNNNNNNNNNNNNNNNNNNNNNNGGAGCAAACCUGUUGGGUUCAGGCUAUGGGACUGCAAAGGGCGGAUCUCUAGUGCUCGAGUUGCCUCAUACAAGGUUUGCUGGCCAAGUUGCUAUGAUGCUGAUAUAUUGGCUGCCUUUGAUGCUGUGAACACACAAUUUCAUUCACAUAUAAAUAUUACAAUUUUAGGCACAUUAGUGUUAAGUCAGUACCAAACCCAACUAACACAUCUAGCUUUUUCAAAAACAAAUUCCACAAAAUAGGGAUCUUCACACCUUUUCAACUAAUUCUACUGUUAACAAAAGAUACAAAAGAUUUCUUAAAGUAUCUAGAAAAUUCUCAAAUUCCAACAGAUGCUGCCAUACAUGAUGGGGUUGACGUCCUCUCUCCUUCACUUGGAUUCCCUCGUGGUUAUUUCUUAGACAGCGUAGCAGUUGGAUCUUUUCAGGCUGUCAAGAAUGGAAUUGUUGUUGUCUGCUCCGCUGGGAAUUCCGGACCCACGCCUGGGAGUGUUGAAAUUUCGGCACCAUGGAUUAUAACUGUUGCAGCUAGUACCAUUGAUAGGGAUUCUCCCUCUUAUGUCAUGUUGGGCAAUAACAGGCAAUUCAAGGUGGGUCCUUUAAUUCUAACAGUUUAGGAAAACAUAUUUCUUUUAGUUUUCAUGGUCCGUAUAUCCACAAGUAUAUUUUUCUUGAUUCAACUUUUGUGAAUUGUUUUGAAUCAGGGUCUGAGCUUCUAUACCAAUAGUUUACCGGCUGAGAAGUUUUAUCCCCUGGUAUAUUCUGUAGAUGCUAGAGCUCCUAAUGCUUCUGCAAGAGACGCGUAAGUAAAGUGAUCCUCCAUUCAAAUUCAAUCUUGAUCCUGUUAAUUCUCAUCACCAAGUCCUCCAUCUCAUUAUAUAUAGGUAUGACUAACUCUUACUGUAUUUGCUUUCUCUCAAUGUUGUAGACAACUCUGCUUUGUUGGAUCCCUGGACCCAGAGAAGGUGAAAGGGAAGAUAGUAUACUGUCUGGUUGGCCUCAAUGCAAUUGUUGAGAAGAGCUGGGUGGUUGCUCAGGCAGGUGGCAUCGGGAUGAUUAUUGCUAAUCGUCUGUCCACCGGUGCAAUUAUUCAUCGGGCUCACUUUGUUCCUACAUCACAUGUCUCUGCAGCUGAUGGUCUUUCCAUUUUGUUAUACAUCCACACUACAAAGUAAAUUUCUGUGUCUCUAAAUAGUAAAUACUUAAUUCCAGGUUGUUUGCUUCAUGAUACCUUGUAAAAUCCAUUUUCUGAGAUGGCCCAUCUUAGUGUUGAGGAAAAAAAAUUUCCAGGUACCCAGUGGAUUAUAUCAGAGGGGCAACUGAAGUGGGUACAGUAGUGGCACCAAUCAUGGCCUCUACUUCAGCUCAGGGCCCUAAUCCAAUCGCUCCCGAAAUCCUCAAGGUGGAUUACAAAUUAUAGUCCAAAUUAAAUGAACCGAUUGUGCGGUAGGAAUCAUAUAAAUUGUUAAGACCAUUCUCUUAAUUUUCUUAGCAUUAAUGUAAAGUCCCAACACUAUUGAUGUCCAUCUACAGCCUGACAUCACUGCACGCGGAGUGAACAUUUUAGCUGCUUACACAGAAGCAAAGGGGCCUACAGAUCUCCAAUCAGAUGAUCGCCGCCUUCCCUUCCACAUCGUAUCUGGUACUUCGAUGUCAUGCCCACAUGUUUCUAGAAUUGUAGGCCUUCUCAAAAAGAUUCACCCUGAGUGGAGUCCAUCAGCGAUAAGAUCAGCAAUUAUGACCACCGGUCAGUACCAUAUGUUAAAUUUUCAUCAGAGCUGCAUUCAGUCAUAUAUUGUAUCGUUGUGCUGCUUUAAGAUUAUUAUUACUAUGAACAACUGUUGCUUAAUGCUGACUACCAUAUGGGCAGAACCAGAAGUAACGUGAGACAACCUUUGGCGAAUGACACACUUGCAGAGGUAAACCCCUUCAACUAUGGUGCAGGGCAUCUGUGGCCUAACCGUGCAAUGGACCCUGGCUUGGUCUAUGACUUAACCACUAUUGACUACUUGAAUUUUCUGUGCUCUAUUGGCUAUAAUGCAACCCAACCGUUAAAAUUUGUGGACAAGCCAUACGAAUGCCCACCAAAGCCCCUAAGCUCUUGGGAUUUAAACUACCCCUCAAUUACUGUCCCCAGUCUCUCAGGCAAGGUAACAGUGACUUGGACCCUGAAGAAUGUUGGAAGUCCAGCUACAUACACAGUUCGAACUGAG
rnacentral:lncRNA from 1 species